UGUCCGCGCCCAGGAUCCGAACUGGCAAAACCUUGGGCCACCAAAGCGAAGCACGCCAACUUAACCACUCGGCCAAAGGCCUGCUCCAUAUACACAGAUUUUAUAUCUUCCAAUGUUGAUAAAUGGAUCUGUCAAGUUUUGAUCAUGUGAAUGUUCUUUUGCCAUCACUUCAUAUGCCACAGCUGCGAAAGAAUGAGAGGAAAGAAAAUAUGUUUUGCAUCCAUGUGUCAUGCAUUUCACUAAGAGAUAAUCACAUUUAAGAAAUGUGGAUGUUGAGUCCCAAAACGGUAAGUGCAGGUAAUAGAGUAAAUCAAAUCAGAAAAUAUGGUGAAAAUAGCAUUACAGCUUAUCUUUCCAACUUUCAGCCUUAAGACAUAUCUUAGCACUCAUAUUUCUAAUUUAAAUGAAGGUAAAUAUACUUUAAACUUUGACUUCUUAAUUCGGACCUGGAAAAAAAGAGGAACCUGUUUUGUCUGUGCUCAUGACUAGAAAAAACUGUCAUGCAGUAGAAUAAAGAAAAUAAAUAUAUAUGAAUAAUAAGAUAAACUGUGAAUAAGAAUAUAGACUAUAUUCUAUCACAGUUUAUAAAAUUGGAUUCUAAAUCUAAGGACAAAGUUGGAAACCGCAUGAGAAUCUUGAUUCUUUAGAAUCUCCAAGGAAAUAAAAAUUGUGUACAGUAACAAAAAUAUAACAACCAGUAUUACAAAUAAGUGAUUUUCUAAAAUACUGUAAUUAAUAUUUUAUGUAAAUCAACUAAAAUUAGAUGACAUAGCUUUUUAACAUUUUGUAAUCAAUUGCCAUGUUUAAAAAAACCAAAAUAGUGAUUAAAACUACAGAUAAUUCCCCAGCAUUUUGCUAUGAAAUCUUCAGCAGCUCAAGAGCUUAGCACAAGGUAUAGCCAUUUUAGAUUGGAGGUAGCUUAGGGGUGUCAAGAGCACCAGACUAGAGUCCCUGGGGGUAAAGUGCUCUGAUAACUACCUGAGUGACAUCUCUGGGUACAUUUCCUUUUUUUUUUAAGGAAGUAGUUGGACUGGAUGCUUGUGUCUGAAAUCUUUAGAUCAUGGCCAACUUUAAGAAAAUGAUAAAAGCUAUGAAAUAGCUCCUCAGAAAAAUCCACAUAUUCCAAAAUAUUUCCAUUUCUGGAAGAUUCUGUGUGUCCUUCAAGCCACUUUGUGGAACCCUCAGGACCCAUUGGUCUCAUGAACUCAGGGUUCAGGAACCUUGAAUUGGGAUUAUUUUAAAUAUUCCUUUCCUCUGUGAUAUUUAUGUUCUGUAUUUCUGAGUACCAAGUUCAUUCUGAGUACCAUGGAUCAUCUGAACUUGUAUUUUGAAGCAGAAUUCAAAUGGAAUCUUUUUACUUGAUUACACUUGUGAAAUACAAAUAGGUCCAAACUUACUCAAGGACAAAUCAACCAACCAAAUUCAAAGGGAAACUUAUAUGUAACUAGUCAAACCCUGAAGCUCUUGAGUGAUCUAGGAUCACAAGUCUGUUCCUAAACCAGUCACUACUACAGACGGCCAGAUUAUUGUUUAGUGCUUUUAUUGCUGUUAUCUCUACUCCACAGACAGAAUUUCUGGGCUUCCAUCCACCUUGUGGAGGUGGAAAAGACAAAUUACUAAUAACUGGUAGCAAUACCUGGGGAUUUUUGUGGCAGUCAAAAGACUUGGAUCAGAAUUCCAUUGCUUCUUUUUACUGGUUGGGUGAUUACAGCAAUUUAAUUUCUGGCUCCAAACUUUCAUUUUCUUUAUUUGUAAAACAGGGUAUAAAACCUCCCAGACAGGAUUCUUGUGACAUAGACUACACACAUGCACAUACACAUUUAUACGUAUUUUAAAAAUCCUCCAAGGCAGGGUUUUUCAAAGAUAAGAGAACAUAUACAUAAAUACACAUGUAUAUGCAUACAUGUGUGAAUAAAUAUACAUAUGUGUGUCUAUGAAUACACAUGCAUAUGUGUGAACAUGUGCUCUAUGUGUGUGUGUUUGUGUGUAUUCUAACAGAGUGUUUGGCAUAGAGAAAUACCUUAAACAAGAUAGCUUCUUUUGUUUUCAGCAUGGCCUCUGCCAGCAUAGAAAGCACCUUGAGCAGGAUAAAAAAGGAACUCCUUCUGAAUGAGUACAUUCUCAAAAGAUGCCUGUUCCUCCUGGCUAACCCAAGCCAGACCAGGGCUCAGGACUAGAUUUCUGCCAUUACUGAUUCCUUGAGGUGGGCAUCAAAAAUCGCUCUGCUACACAUUAAGCUGCUCUUGGUCUGGUUCUCGCCAUGCCCUACACCAGUAAUUCUCAAAGGAUGCUCCCAAGACCAGCAGCAGCAUCACUUGGAAACUUGUUAGAAAUAUACAUUCUCAGGCCCCACACCUGACCUGCUGAAUCAGAAACUCUUGGAUAGAGCCCAGCAAUCUGUGUUUAACCAGCCCUGCAAGCUUGCUGAAGUACCACUGCCCUACACCACGUUCCACUCCCCGUUACACUAACAAGUGAUAAGUAGUUAGUGAGAACAGACUCCCUCCUCCUCCUGCUUCUGUUCUUCCUCCUCCCUAUGUUUCUCAACCAAAGAGAAUUUACCAUGACAUGCUGAAGAGAUGUGAGGACAUUCAUGCGUUAUAAAGAGUAAAAAGUUUCUUCAGCCUGAUGUUAUUCAUUUAAUUUCUUCCAAGUGUUACAUCUGCUACUGACCACUUCAGAGAAGUGACGCUGGGUUAUGCUUUCCUGGGGUUCCCUCAGAUGACCUCCUAACCCUGUGAUCUCCAUUUACUUCUGCCUGAGCCCUCCUGUAAGAAAGCCCUACCUGUGAGCAGGUCAGGUAACUCAAAUCCCCACCCACAGAAUGAGGCAUUUCGGCAGGACCAUAUCUUCAAGUUGAUGUCAGAGCUCCUCUUCCACGGUCUCCCGUCCUGUAAGUUGUACUGGCAGCUAGGUUAGUGCCAUGAAGAUCCACAAGAUGUGUGAUCACCUGGACGAUGACUCUGACUUUAAGACUUAGAAGUGUGGAUUUCUUUCAGAAACCUGAGUGGAAGAGUGUUGCCUUGGUUAUUGACUCUGUGCCACCUUCAUCUUUAACAAGCUGAUGCUAAAGAUUUCUGAGUUUCGAUUUUCAUUCUUAUGUUAGCUCUUAACCCAGGGCUAUUCUCACUCAUCCUUUACUUGUUAUAAGGAAUAGAGAGUCCUAAGAGAGUAUGGACUUCAAUAAUACAAAAUGAAACAGAUUGAAACACAGGGAGUGUGCUGAAUAUUUCCUAAAACUCUUUUGCUAGUCAGUUGAAAGAAAUAUAAAGUUUGUCUCCUCAACAUCAGAAUAUUUCAUAAGAACUCAUUUAUGAAAUAUUUUAUAUAAUAAAAAAGGGAUCGUUUGUAAAUAGAAAUGAGAAGUAGAUAAAUGCCUCUAAUAGAGAAAUAAUGAAAAAACCAUUACUCCUUUAUUUUAGAUGUGUGCAAUGUAUCUGGUUUUGUUUGUUUUCAAUAAGAGUUUUUCACAUUUCUUUGCUCUUCUCCUGUAUGUUUGAAUAUUGAUCUUGGCUUUCCCAAUUCUCUCACUGCUUUAUACGAAAAUCACAUUUUUAAAAGCCAGGAAAUUCUCUGAUAUGAGAAAGCAAUCUAUAGGUUGAGUGUGAUCCAUUCUUAAUAACGUCAAACAUGCUAGAAAUUUCUGAUUUUUUUACUAUCAUCAGUAAACUUCUGUUUAAAAGGAUUUGGGGACCAGUUUUUAUAGAAUGUGAAAAGGGAAAGUUUUUUCUUAACUUCAUUGCCUUUCUUAUUUCCCUAUGUACCCAUCCCCUUCAGGCUCUUUCUUAGUUCCUCAGAGAACCAAUUGGGACACCUCACUGGAUAUGGCCAUCAAGUUCAAUCCUUGCUUUGCCCACUCUCUGAAGCUACCAUUUUCUUAUCCCAUGUGUAUUUCUUCCCAAAUCUUAUUUCUGACUACUAUGAUAAUCUAAUUUAAGCUGAGACAGUGGUUUAAAUGUAUCAGCUUUCCCCAGGUGAUUGAUAAGGCUUUGGUAGGUUAAGCAUCAAGUCAGUAGGCUCAAGACUGGAAUCAAAUUGAGGACGAGGAGGUUUUCUGGGCACCUCAAAGUAACUUUCAAGCAGUGUGCCUUGUCAUAACUUGGGACUUAAAGAGAUGCUAAACUAUUUGACAAAAUAAAUCAUCAUAGAAAAAAUUAAUGUCCCUUCCCAUUAGUCAACAGUAUUAUUGGUCACUGUGCCCAGAGGUGUCUAAAUUUCUCACUUAGAUUAUUGAUAUAUUUAGAUGCUCUACUUCCUAUGAUUCUGUUCACUCAGGGUCUCUACUCUAGGAACUGAUGGUCUUAUUUACCAAGGUCCCUUCGAUACAUGAAAACCGUAAUACCUUGCAAGAAGAUGAGACUCUGAUCUUAUUAGAAUAGCCUUUAUCUAAUUAUAAGAGACUCAGCUAUUUGGGCCAAGAAAAUCCUCCUUUUAGAAAAUUUCUGAACGAUGCAAAUAUGCCCACUCUUAAAAUUCCAUCAGUUUAAUUUACUAAGAACUUCAAUAUAUUAAUCUUCCCAAAUGACAUGUCCUUUUAACAAGGGACUUCAAAGGAGUGACUAAUAUGAGAAUUGCAGACCAUGUGGCAAGACCAUGAGGAAUAUCUAUUUGAACAAUUGGAUUGCUCGUUUUCCAACACUCACAGCAGUAAUUCUUAGACAUUUAAUAUACCAUUUUUUUUCCUUUUUCUCCCCAAAGCCCCCCGGUACAUAGUUGUAUAUUCUUCGUUGUGGGUCCUUCUAGUUGUGGCAUGUUAAUACACCUUUUUAUAGAAGAGAACUAGCAGUAUCCUUGUAUAUCAUACAUCAUGCUCUGCUCACCUUUGUGUUUCUAUUUUAUAUUUAGAAGCAAGUGAGAGAUUACUUUUAUAAGGUAAUGGCUUUAUGGUAUUUUGGAGUAAUAAGAGAGAGCUCAGAGAAUAUCUGUUUCAAGAGUACUGAGUCCCAGAAAGUGUACUUGCCCAAGGUUACGGAGGAAAUUAAGACUGUGCCAACAUAGGACCUCUCCCUGGGUCCAGUUCUCUCUCCUUUACAAUGUGGCCCCUUUCAUGUGUUCUUGUAUAAAAAUGAAAAGCUGAGUUAUUUUGUUCUCCUGUCUUCCAAGAGUAAUUCAGAGUGAUGUUUGCUUAUAUUCUUGGCGUCAAUGACAAUGUCAGCUAAUACACUGGAAAUUUCCUCAAGUAACUUGACAGCCAUACACGCUGCAUUGUACAUCACUUAAACUGAGAGAAAAGUGUGACUAAUACAGCAUGCAUCAAAAUUAAUUCUGUCAUGAACCACUCUGUAUGAGUCAUAGAAGCCACAAUACUGUAUUUAGAAUAAUAAUAAGACAAGGAAUAAUGGCAUCCUAAAAUUUAAUGAGGUAGUUUAGUUUAAAUGUACAUUGUUAGUUUGUGUCAACCUACUGCCCAUUGCAAGCAGCACAUUUUUUAACAACCUUGUGCAAUGGGGCUGUAAAUUACUAUAAUUAAAUUAAGCCAUAACCUUAUCCAGGCAAUAUGAGGUAUUCGUACUUUGAUUCUGUAAUCACAUUAUCUGCUCAGAACAGAAACCACAGUGGAAAAAAGAAUCAAACAGCACAACCAACUAUCUCAUUAGUAAGUUUUCAAAAGGAAAAUAAAGCUACUUGGGAUUAUCUACCCAUUUAUCCAGGUAUGUCCAUCACAAAUGCCUUAAGUAAUUACCGAUUAAUUCAUCUUUGUUAACUGGUUGUUACAUUUGAAAGCAGAGCACAGUGUAGGAUAAGAAUGUUUGCCUCAAAUAAGCAUAUCUACAUGGCUUUAGGUUUAUUUCCAAUCUCACUUUAAGAGGAUAGGCAGAUGAAGAGAGAUUACUAGUUUGAUUAUACAGGAUGGUAAAGAUUCUGAUAGAGACAACCAUGAAUCCUGGAAGCAAUAUAAUAAAAUUACCUUUUUUUGGUUAUUGUUCCAUUAUGGUUUUCAUAAAAUUUGUGUUAUGCUAGGACUAUUUUGUGUGGAUUAUUUUGUUGUAUAUGUACUAAUUUCCAUGAGCAUGGUAAAUGGAGUUAGAAGGAGAUGCUUGUUAAUAAAAUGGGAAGAGGGAUUAAUCAUUUGCUCCUCUCCGUUUUAAUCAUUUGUAACCCGAUGGCACUUGUUUUGUAUUAUAACCAAUAUUAUUUUCAGGCCCCACUUCCCUCUAGACGGUAAGUUCUGUAAGUUGGAACUAUGAUUUAUUCCAAGACUGCACCAAAUGCCUAGCAUAGUACACAGUACAAAAUAGGGGUUCAAUAAACGUUUAUUGAAAGAAUUAAAAAUUAAUGAAAAGAAGUGAGAUGUGUUUUGUUCAGAUAUCAUGGUUUACAAACUCUAAAUUUCAAUUUUUCACUUUUCAGUUUCCCGAAAGCAUCCUUGUAUGGGUUAAAAGGCUCGGUGGUGGAAACUGAGCAGUCAUAUCAUGUCAUAUCACUUGUAGCUUCCACAGCCUCUUUUAGUGUUAAAAAAAUUUGGAUCUCAAAUUAUAACUUUCAAGCUCUGGUUUCUGACUUCAUCGCUGUUGUCUUGUCUAAUGCACUCAUAGCCCCAAAGUACUGAAAACAUAUGGAUGGAGUCACCAAAUAUAUUCAUAACAUAUUCACAUUUCUUUAUCAUGGGAUAUAACCAUACUGUGUUGCUGACCCUCUUUCUCUAUGAGAGAUACCAAAAUGGGGCACAGGUCAGAUAUUUCAGGACCUCACCAUCUUUGCACUUCACUCUUUAAAGCUGCAUGUACUGUUACAAUCAUACAAGAGCUGGACGUGACAACAUAAAAUAGGAGGUGAACAGGUGUUUCUAGAAAGAUCGAAUGUGUGUGUAUGGGAUUGUGAGGGUUUUGGUCUAUUAAUAUAUACUGCUCUUAGGGCCAAGGUUAGAUUGGCUUUAUUACUUGGCCCUGGCUACACUUUGAUCUUGCUCAAUGCUUAAAUGCUUAGUGGUGGUUGUAAAAAAAAAAAGAAAAUCAACCAAAGUGUUUAUAAGUCAAUCAUGUUCCUUAGAGCAUCCUGGAAAAAAACAAAAACAAAAUAAGACAGAACAAAAAAGAAAAUAAGCCAGUUCUCAGUAGAGUAUACGUUGAUAUGUCAUCAGCACCCAUGAAAGAGAGUGAAGCCAAGUGAGUAGUUUUGAAAUGGAAUACAUGCAUGUGGCAAGGGAUUGUGGGAUUUCUCUCAGAGGAAAAAGAAUAUGUAGAAUCUUAAAUUUGUUCUUUUAAUAAUCCUUGCUCAUGGUUCACCACAUCUUUGUUAUCGCAUUGAUAGCUAAUGGUUUAAAAUGUGAAAAAAAAUUGCAUUUAAAUAGAAAUAAUCAAGUGUUCAGUAGUGGAGUUAUGUUGCUUUGUAGAUUAUUCUCAUAUGUGGUAAAGUAGCAAGUAGUAAUACCAUUAAUUUCAGUCAUGUGAGUUUAAAUGAAUCACGAUGUACUGUUUAUUUUUCUUGUUGCUGAGUAUGUCAGGCAGGAGACUAAUUAGUUUGAAAAUCUCAUUUAGAAUACCUUCUACAUUAUAACCCCUGAGCAUGGAAAUUGACAGUAUUUAGUAAAAGAGAACACAGUGCAAUACCAGUAGAAAAAAAUGUGAUCUUAUAUUCAUCUUCCUGUGAAUGAGAGCAAAGGACUAGCGCCCAUUUUGUCUAAUUGCUAUAUUAUUCAAAGUUGUUGGUGAUGUUUCUUAAGUCUUAGAGAUCAUAUCUAAUAUUUAGCUGAAGCUCUAGGAUGGAAGAUAUUUCCUAGAGAGAACUCAUUUAUUUUGGAAGCAAUUUACCUAUUUUCUGUUGUUAUCAUGAAGCAUAUGGCAAGUUGUAAUACAUAAUUUUCUGUUUAGAAAUUUCUGGUUUCAAUGCCUAGAUUAAAAUUUGUUCAAAUUAAUGUCUUCAGAGACAAUAAAUAUCAAUUUUUAGAAAAUGAUGAGCCCUCGUUCUGUGAACCAAGCAUUAGAUAAGUGCUACACGUGUGUUAUCUACUUACUUUUCAAAGUAACUUGUAAGUAGUUACUGUUAUGCCCAUUUUACAGAUGAGGAGAUGAGGGUCACACACAAUGAGUGGCAGGGGAGGGAUGAGAACCCAUUAGUAUGGCUCAAGAGCUUGAGCUGGGUUGUAUGGUACUGCAGUUUAGCCCCGAGUGCUGUGUUUUGUUCCCAUAUCUGUCUGUCUAUCUAUGAUCUUAUCCACUGAUGAUGAAAAAUAAUUUAAUCUUUAUGAAUUUCAGUUCUCUGAUUGAUAAGUGGGUAUUUUCACUCCUGCCACCUCAGAAAAUAAAUGCUAUUGAAUAAUGCUGAGAAUGCUGUGAGAAAGGCACUAUCAUGUCCUGUGUUUGGAGUGCAAAUGGGCAUGAUCUUUGGAAGCAAUUUGGCAACGUGAAUCAAGGGCCUUAAAAGUUUUGUACCCUCUUUUUACCUUGUAUUCCCAUAGCUAGUAACAUCCUCAAGGAAUAAUCAGAGAUAUGGAUAAUGAUUUAUGUCUAGCCUUUGAAGUGAAUGUUCAACAAUAUCAAUAAAUCUAAAAUUUGCACAUUACUAAGUAAGUCGAUUUGGUAGAAAAUGUUCUCAAUU